rnacentral:lncRNA from 10 species
ACCCUUGAAUAUCUCUAACCCCUGAUCCACUGGGGAGGCUGAUUUGAGAGGCCAGAAGAACUUGCCUGGCAAUUAUGAGUGGAUGGAGGAACUGCCUAUCCCUGUCCCAUUGUCUUGUCCACAGGUCAGCCUCACAAAGGGAAAGAGCCCUGGAUGGGAAUACAGUGGAAGCUCAUUCUCUUAGUGACCUGGGGACAUUGGCUCGAGAUGAAGCCUGGCAGGAGUGGCAACUCCAGGUGAAAAGCUUGGUGAAAGAUUUUAAGGACUUCCCAUUGGCUGAAGGCUGGCAAAUGGAGUUUGCUAUCCUCUGACUGCAGCCAUUCUGAGGACUGGAAAGAAUACCCUGAGAAGGGGCCUAUUUUAUUUCUGCAGGAAGGUACUGAGGUUUAAUUUAUCUUAUGGAGUCUUCCUAGAUUAGAAGGCUUUGAGGUGUGUUGAUGCCUUGCCAGUGACUUAGCUGCCUGAUCAGUGAACCUAUUUCCUUUGGCUACAUCAUCUGUUCCCCUUUUGAUGUUCCCUAUAAUGUAUCACUGCUAUUUCUCAUGGAAGAAAACUGAGGAUAAUAACCUGUUAAUUUUUUGGUGAUAUUUUACAGGAAAUCCAUUAGUGGUAAGAAAAUGCCUUUUAUUUUAAAUGGCAGCAUGAGCAUGAAGAACUCAAAAAGCAUACUUGGAAUCAGUGUAAAUGUUAGCUACCUUUCCCUUGCUUAAUUUAAGUGCUCUUGUAAGAACCAUUUGUUUAGCUGAUUGAGCACCUGCACCUGAAGGGAGAUGUUAUUUAGAGUGACUACUGCUUAUCCUGCCAUAUAUAUUUCUUGCUUUACCAGCUGUUUGUUAGCUAAGAGCUCCCUCUAGAGGAAAGUAAUUUUGCCACAUUAAGUGGGGAUGUAAACCGUUCUUUCCUAGGGUUAAUUUGGAGGCUUUUCUGACUAGUAGAGCUAUUGUGACAGUGGUUUGGAAGCAGAUGUAAACAAUAGGUCCUCCUAAUGGCAAAUAAGAGGUUGAGAAAAAUAUUGGAUUAGAAUUUUUCCUGAGACACCCCUUAUGGUUGUGCUAUGGGAAGAGGGGAGGCCUGGAUAAGAAAGGAGAAAAGAGAGAGACUAGAUCUAGUGUUUAGAAGGAGGUCUACUUUCCUCCCUAUAAUUUCCAGAAUGACCUGUGUCUCCUGUGCUGUAAUGGCAGUUUGAGCUGCUGGAGCCAGGGGUUUGAGCCCCAGGACCCAUCAGUCUUGCUGGACCACUGUGAGACUGGUACUGAACCCAGUGACCUCCAACUCUGGGAGCAGUUGCAUCUCCAGUGGUCUCCACCACAGGCUGGUCAUUGUCAAGGUGGCUUCCUCUUGCUGUUUGGACACUCCUUCCUAAAAAUGCCCUGGCUUGCCACACCGAGAGCAACUAGUGGAUACACCUCUGGGAUCCUGGACUUUGCAACUCUGCAAAGUAGCUAUUAGAGGCUUUGUCCUUCUCUUGAGCUUUCUCUCUUUCUUCUGGGCCUUCUCCUGGUCCCUAUUAUAAAAGACUGAAGUGGCUACCCUCAGAAGGUUUUCCAAGGUGCUAUGUGCUACUAUAGCUUGCCUUUUGUAGGUUCCUUCUAAUAUUGGGAGCAUUCUGUAUAAUAAACUUAUCUUUUUGAAUGGGCUGUCACUUGAGUGAAUCAGGAGAUAAAAAGGUGUGUGCUAAUAGUGCCCCUCUUAACCUAUCCAUAAAGGCUGCAGGAUUCUCCUCUGGCUUUGAGUCUAUCAUAGACAGUUUAGAGGAAUUAAGAGGUCUGGCCUUAGUUUUUCUUUUCCAUUCAUCUGCUGAGCUAUUGGGGCUUCAAUCAGGGUUGCCAAGAGGUACUGCUUCACUUCUUAUUUGGAAUGGUGUUUCUGCUAUUUCUUCACUUUCUGUAUCUCCUUCCUUCCCUUUUGGUGUAUUAUAGGAGAUAUGUUGCUCAUCUUCAAAAUUCUCUGGUGCUUGUAGAGCUGGCUGUUUUUCAGUUACAGUUAGGGUUUGGUUUAGGAGCAGCAUAACAUCCUUCCAUGUGAGGUGAAACACCUGACUUAAAUUCUGGAAAGCUUCUAUAUACCUAUCAGGAUUGUCUGAAAAUCAGCCUAAGUCUUACUUUAUUUGCCUAAGGUCCUGUAAUGAGAAGGGAACUUGGAGGGACCCCAAAUUAUGGGGAUUCUUCUCAGAUGGUUCCCUGGGAAGUUGCUUUUCUAAUUCUAGGGGAUUAUUCUUUAUAGGC